CUGUGUCUCCCUCUCUCUCUGACCCUCCCCCGUUCAUGCUCUGUCUCUCUCUGUCCCAAAAAUAAAUAAACGUUGAAAAAAAAAAUUAAAAAAAGAGGGCUCCCUGGCUGCCAGCAUCCCCUGGUCCUUUCCAAGGUAUUUACUGGGUCAUUAGCGUUGAGACCCAGAGAGCCAAGCACUGAUACUGACUGAUUCCACCUAUGGCCUUGGACUGAACAUCCUGUGUAGCAUCGUGGGCCCAAAGUCUACAACAGAGGAGCUAAACACACACAUCUGUGCUUGGAUCCCAGACACGCCCCCAGCCUUGAGGUCCAGAUGAUCCCUGGAGGCUGGAUCAAGGGAGUGCCUCCUUAGGGUCUCCUAAUCGACCCUCCAGGAGCAGGGAACAGGCCAAGGUGGGUAGGGGAGCUAGACAGACCACAGGGUUGGAGAUCAGGCGGUUGAGUACUCCCUCCUCCCGGGGAAAGGAGGACUAAGGUCCUCAGCUCAGAUGGAUGAUUAGAACGCAGUGUCAUAAAGGUUGUAAGAGCCUGGGAACAUCCUGACGGGGCUUUGUGGCCCAGGAGGGUGCCUGAACAGUCUCCUGACCAGGGAUGAUGGCACAGCGGCAGGGAAAGGAGGUGCUUCCAGGUUCCCGGUGGGCAGCCAGGACAUCUGAGGAGGGCAGGAGGAGUCUCCCCAAGGGUCUUGGCCAGUGGCCCAGGCACCCACUGGGAGAGGAACUGUGGAGGUUGGCAAACUGGGGCUGGGACCCAGGCCAUCGGGACCUUGUCUGUCUUUCUGUCGUCCUUAGCAGGUCGCCUCCACCCUCGUGCUCAGAAGAUGCUAAUGUUCCUCCAGGGACCAUGCCCAGAGGAAAGGGACAGAAAGCCUGAUGGGGCGCACUGGGCCUGUCCCCUUCAUGCUUAUAUCUCAUCAGCCAGAACCACCUCACGUGCUAUCCCCAUGUGCAGUCACUGAGAAUCACCAGGGAGGACGAAGGGCCUUGGGGUGCACACCAGCACCCCAGUCGACUGUGCCCUGGCAUAGCUGCCUCCCUGUCUCCUCCUCCAUUUUGCCAAAGGCGCCCACAUGGAGGGCAGAGUCCUGGCUUCAGCAGCCUUCCCGCUGGCCCCUGAAGAGUGGAUUGGCAUUUUAUGGCAAUUUGGCAGAAAGCACGAUGGAUAUGGCCUCUGCCACCACAGAGGGGGCAGUGGUGGGGUAAGUGGAGGCUGGGGACAGCACAACGGAUUGGAAAGCACGCAGAAGAGGCGUGGAUCCUGGUCUAGAGGGGGCAAUGGGCAGGGAGAACUUCCAGGAGGCGGGAGCUGUCCUGGCUAAAACCUAAAAGGCAGACAAGAGCAAGUUGGGAAGGAAUCCAAGAGGGUGACAAGUGACACAGCUAAGGAACAGGGAGGAAUCUGGAGGGUGCAGAAAGAAACGAGGUGGGAGAAGCAGGCCCAGCGCAGGGUGUCCAGAGCUGUGUGUGGGGGGCAGGGAAUAAAACCAAGGGUGGCCUGGGGAGCAGUCCCUUGGUGCUGCGGGGUCCUUGGGGGGUGGGAGCUGGGUGAGAUCACAGGCCUCCGCAGAGCCCCUGCACCUAAGGCCCUACUUGGAGCACCAGGGCUGGUGACCUCAGGGCAUUUAACUCUUGGUACUUGGUGGUGGCGGGGGGCUGGGGCAAGAGUGCAGGAUAAAGGAGGGGGGCCUCACGGAAGGGAGAUCAGGGUUCAGUAGAUACUCUCUUCCAUAUGAAAUAGGAGGUGUGGCUUCUGUCAAGAGGGGCCGGUACAAGAGGGGACUAACUAGGCUCUAGCUAAGGGCCAACUAGAGGCUGACUAGGAGCCCGCCUUUCUGGUGGGGCAGGAUCAGCACGGGGUUGCAGCCAGGGUGGUCUGGGCAGGAGUGCGGCCACAGAAGGCUGGCAUCCGGCAGCCGGAUCCAGGCAUCCGGUUCUACUCCAUCAUGCCACCCGAAUCCUCUCUUUGGGCUUUAUAACCUCGAAUCUAAACCUGAUCCCUACCUACACCUAAAAAGGAAAUUUGGGGAAAAAUGAAAAUGCUAAAUUUGUUUAAAUUGUCAUAAAAGAAGAUAGUCAUUCGUAGAUUUUCAUGAGUAACCGGAAAUGUUCACAAAGCACUUUGUGUUAUGAUGGGAAAGACAAGAAGCAUGCUUAUCAGUUAUUUAGUGCCUACUCUAUGCCUUCUCUUCACUGGUGGGCAGCGACAGCCCCUUCCCACCCCCAUUCCCCCACCCCCCAACCCCCCCCCCAAGCUCCCUCCCUGCCACUCAGAGCGAGAUGGCUUAGUGGACUGAAGCCCCUGAACAUACUCUUUGCCCAGAGAAAAAUCCUGUCUGCACUUGGCCCAGGAAUGGAGACACAGCCCUGGUGACCUCCCCCUUCCGACUGCCUCCCCCUUCUGACUGCCUUUUGAGCCCUGAGUGGUGGGAGAAGGUGUAGGUUUCAUUUGCCAGGGAGGUGGGGCGGGGGUGGGGGUGGGGGGAGGUUGGUGGGAGCUGGGGAAAAGUCGGUGGGAGCCCCAGGAAGCCUAGGUGAAGUUAAUACUGGAUGCUACUGGAAGGGUGAGCACAGCUAGGAGAGACUGAGCCUGAGUUGGGGGGUGGGGGUGAGGAGAUGACCCAGCUCCUGGGGAGACAGUCCCAGGUUCUGCAGGGCUGUGUGAUACCCUGCCUUCUGGGGCUGCACUCCGUGGCACUUCCUACUUGGGUUUUAUGGCAAGGUUCCUUAGCCCCUGAGCGGGGCACAUCUGAGCCUAUAAAACGGGCAGCUCGUCUCUCAUGGGAUCUCUGGGGAGGAAAAAAAUACUGAUAAAGCAUUUCCGAUUCUAAGAAGGAUGCCUGACAUACAGCAAGUGCUGGGGGGGGGGGGGGGACGGUGGGGAAACUGAGCAAUCACGUAGGACUACGUGGAAACACAGAUGGCCCUAACCUCUCUCCACCCCACUUCCGCACUCGGCCCACGCUUCUGGUCCCACCAAACUGCCCACCUCUCUGCAAGUGCCCCCUGCCUCUUGUGGUCUCUGCUUUCAGUUCGUCUUGGUUCUCUGGAUCUGAAAUGCCCUGGCCCUUGCUUCUUGUCACCCUCCAGCCCCCUCUCCUCCAUUUAAGGAUCUCCUCCCUGCCCCCUCCCUCCCGACAGCCUUGGGGGCGGGCUGCCAGCUCCUGGCUGGGCCCUCAGCUGCACACACACCUGUGCUGUGGAAGAAAGUUCUCUGGCUCCACAGAGGGCCAGGCGAGAACGCCCAGUCCCAGCCCUAGAAGCGGGGAACGUCUCAAUGGCCAGGAAAGGAGGCCGAAGUCUGCCCUGGUUCGUCCGAUUCCUGGACCCUGACACCCUUUCAGCCAUCCCCAAAGGGACUGCGGGGUGUGGCAGCUGGCAGCAGCUGUCCAGGGCCAGGAGUCCUUCCAACCGUCACCGACAUUGACCAUCCUAUCAAGGAGUGCCACAGUCAAGUGUGUGAUGGACUGCUCUCGUCCCUCCACACCCAUCCCUGCCUUUGCGAUAAAACCCUGCUUUGGGGGUGGAAAUGAAGUGAUUGCGCAAUCCCACAGCCCUCCUUGGCAGCCGCGUGCGGCCAUGUGUGGAUUUCAGGAAGCCCGGAAAGGGGACAAGCGUGUUCCUCUUCCCGCCCUUUCCUGCUGCCCCUGGGCUGGAAGGCGGACAAGUGAUUGGCUGCCAUCUCUGACCACGAGCUGGAGGCCACGUUGUGAGGACGGAAGAGCAACGGCUGACCACCAAGGACCAACCCCGGAUUGCCUAUAUCAAGCAUAUGAAGUCUACGGCCAUACCACCCUGAACGCACCCGAUCUCGUCUGAAAUAGCAUAUGAAGACAGCUUCGUCACAGAUCAGGAACUGGAAGGAGGUCCAGGCACUGUCCAUCCCAUCUCCCUAUAAUACAGAUGAGGAAACUGAGGCCCAGGAAAGGAACACGACUAGGGCACCCCACACGGUAUUAAUGAAGAUCCCUGUUACUGAAUCCCCUCCAACUUCUAGACAGCAGCCAACCCCAGACCGCCUCUGCUUUCCCGACCUCUUCUCGAAUCGCUCCGCACCAACCUGAACCCUCUAAGAGGCCUCUCUUGGGACCUUCCUUUUGAGAUUCUCUGGAGAUCCUGUAGGGCAUGUACUUUGCUGCGCAAGCUAAAUAAACCUAACUUUUUUGGACUA